GAUAAGUAGGUGUUGGAGUGCUUUUAAGAAGGAUUUGAUGGCAUACAGGUGCAUGCAGAAGAUAGACAGCAGCCUGCUCAGAGCCCUGGAAGGCCAUGCAAGUCACAAGAAUAUUAUCUAAAAUGUUACACCCUUGCCAGCUUCAGAAAGCAUACCUAGGAAUGAAGUGUGGAAAUGAUCAGCAGUGUCACCUGGGCUUCUCCUGCUGUAUCACAUCCUUGCCUGCUCUCAGCACAGCCUUGCUGUUUACACCUGCUGGGACCACACAGCUGUGUCUCUGUGAGACCAACAGGGGCCUUUCUGCUUCACUCCCUCCCCAUCUGACCUGCACAUCAGCACAUGGAAAGCAGGAGGAAGCUCUGCAGUUUCUGCCCUGCGUGCCCAAGUGAAAGGCAGAGCAGCCAAAGGUCUACAGCCCAACUGAAAGGAAGGACUGUGGCAAGGCUGGCUGAGUCCUGGUAGCGUCCUCUUCUCUCUCCAUUCUAGUCACAGUGAAGCAGAACAGUAUUUGGGUUUUUCCUUGUGCAAUGGGUGCAUUAGUCACCAGAGGUAUGUGGUGUAUGUCCAUCAAGCGCCUAGAGACUGUGCAGAGGAGCCGGUCUUGAGGAAAUAAGUGCUUCAACUGAGGGCCCCUGGUGCCAACCUCAGAUCAGCUGGGCUCACCCCUCUUUCUGAGCCUUGUAAAAGGUACGUGAGCUUACUACCUUGUGAGCCAUGACUAAUGCUCAAGAGAUGGCACCACCUCACAGCAGCUGCUUAACAUGCCCUCCCAGAGCUCACCUUGUACCUGCCUGCUCUGAGGCAGUUGCCUGUUGUGACCCUCUCUGGAGAAAGCUAAUGAGUCUAUGGGACAAAGAGCUUCAUUCAAACAAGGGUCCUAGAAACACCACAAGUCUCUUUUGGAGAUCCUUCCUAGAGAGAGAAGUACAAAUGUCUCUGCUGCAGGAUUCUGUUCACCAAGAACUAUUUGUCAGUAGGAAGAAACCAAAAGCACUAGCAGGGCUUUAUUUGCUCUUCUGCAGAGCAAAGGGACUGAUCAAAUGCUGUUCAUGGGAGCUCAGUGGUAGAACACAGUAACACACAGCCAAAUGGAUGAGGAACUUACAGGCUCUUGUCUGUUCCAGAGGCAGAUUUGUCAGUGAUGAAGAAUGGGAGUUUACAUCAUGGAAGUCAGUGGAUGCCCAGUCUCCUGGAUAUUGUUACUGAUCAUGAGAGAAAAUAUUAAUGCAAACAACUAAGAAGCUACAUCUAUAUGAGGUAUUUUUUGUCUCAAGAUAGCAAAAGUGAGCUAUAACUGAGUUAUUGGAGUUUCAUACCUCAGCAUGGUAGUUAGCAUGUCUGAGCCUAUAGCUAUAUUAACCUCCUGAGACCAGUUAAUUGACUGCUAGUUGAUAAAUAGUAUGCCUGCUAUUAACCAGAAUGAGAAGGCACAGGGGAAGAGGCUAUUUCAGUGACAGGUCCUUUAGGGAUUAGAUGCAACCUAUAACAAAUCAGAGACAGUAGCCUGGAUUCCUGUGAAAUGUCCUGUUACUCCCUGCAGCCACACAACAAUCCAGACCAGUCCCUUUCAGCCUGCCUCCCUUCACUGCCAUGGAGCUCUGCACUGCUUUUCAAAGGUGUUCCAAACCCUCAUGCCCUUGAGGGCUGCCCACAGACCUAGAGGAGGUGGGACUCCCUUUCCCACACAUCGUCUCUCAACCAUGAAGCACCAUCCUGUUGUUUGGAAGCACCAUCCUUGGUCAUUACAAGGCUGUGGCAGAGCUGAACCCUGGCCUGGUGCUUCCUGGGGACUGGGUGACAGGGCAGGAAGGAAGGGGAGCAGACUGUCUCCUGGCUGGAGACAUGGCAUGAAGCCGGAUCAUGCUGCCAGGCUGUGUUCCCCACUGCAACACGUGGCUGCUGUGCCUGGCUCUCAGCAGAAAAAGUCCUUUUCCUGAACUCUGCAACCGGGCAUUUCUCUGCAUCCCCUUCUCAGUUCCUAACACCAGCUUUCACUCUUUGUAACUGUGAAACCUGAGAGCCUGCUAACACAGAGAGGAAUAAACUCUGCUUGGGAGUGACCAAUCAUUAUCCGUGCUAUGAAAUGUAAAGACAAGCUUUAGGCAUGGAGUUCUUAAUCACUUUAUAAAAUAUUUUUAUAGAAACAUAGGUAUUUUUAAAAAUUAAAAGGACUGCCUAAAAAAUCUGAUCUUUAAAAAAAACUGUUAGAAAAAGUGGUGAGGUUUAAGGUAAAAAAGAAAGUCCACAACUUUUUUUCUAGGGGAUUCAUAAAUAAAAUUUAGGAGAUGAAAUGAUGAAACUGAUCUCCUUUUUCUCCUUUCAGUUAAGGAAAUGUCAAAGGAAUGUAACUGCCAGUAUAUUUUAGUGAUCUUGCAGUGCUUUUAUUUUAAAAAGAGCAAGAGGUAAAGCUAUGCACCUAACCUGUUAUCUGUGAACUGAAUCAAAAAAAGACAUCAUGGGAAACCUGGAAGCAGAGAUUGCCAUUUGCUAUGCAUUUAUUAAUUGUUAAUACUGGUGGUGUUAUACUAACAGCUAGGGAUUCCAUG